GUGGGGGGGGAGUAAGGAGAUGCUCGCCCAACCUGGGGGCGCCGCGGCCCCUCCACCCCCCACCCAACCCCACCUCCUGACCCCACGGCCGCCCAGGGGCGCGCCAGGGAGAAGGGGGAGCGCGCGGAAGCCCCGACUUGAGGUCUGCCCGAGAAGGAGCCGUCGCGGCCGCCCGGCGGUGACCUUUCCUACGUGACAAACUAACCUGACCCCGGAGGGCCUGCGCCAUCCUCUCCUCCCCUUUCCCUCACCGCCCAGGCCCUUUGCCUGAUGAUGACACCCUACUCGGGGAGAAAAUAAGUUCACGGGAAUUUUAAGGAUGGAACCUCCCAAAUGCCUGGCCACUGAGAGAGAAAGCUGAAGAACCACCGCUCUAGCCCCAUGAAAGGGUCCAAGGACCGCUUGAACACAGGCCCCAACAAAUGAAUGCACAUUUUACAGAAGGCCCUGUCUGUUCAGUGAACUGAGUUGCUUGGCUGUUCUGUGAAAUAAAGCCAUCCGUACCACAUUGUCUAAGUAGUGCUGCCACCUUGCGACGUCACUGUGUCCCUCUUACUGGUGAAAAUCACUCCCAGGCUCCUCUGUGGUCCAUUAUUCCCUUCCGCUCUAUUGAAGACAUUGUCCCAUGUGCUGUUGGGAAAGUUGAACAAAAGGAGCAGCGGUCACCAUGCAGGGAGAACACGGCCAAGCACAGAGCGGCCCUGUGCAAACCCGUGGAGAUCAAGACAGGCAAGCAGCCCCGAGCUUCGCCAGGCGCGUUGGACAGCCCAAGGGAAUGCUGGGAAAGUUCCAAAGCCAUAGAAAAGCCUUGCCUGACCUAGCCGGCUGGGACUCCCUUCCCAUGGGGCCAGAAUCCAGGAAGAUGGAGCGCCAACCAUCUGCCAUGUGAUCGGUUGCCACAAGAGGGAGAUGAGCUUUCUGAAGAAUUUCAUCUUGGCAAUUUGGCUGUCGGCCUGAGAACAGCUCGGUUAGCCCUGCUGACCCACUCCCACCCCAACCACUGGAUUCCAUGUGCUCAGAACAAAAACUAAAAAGCAGAACCAGUGCCUUAGCGGGGACUCCCGGAGGCAGUUCCUGAAGUGAGGAUCCGUGUAAAAGGCUUAGGGGGUGUCUCUGCGAUGAGGAAACAGACAGAAGCAAUGCCACUCAUAACCACACUAAUGCGCGUGGAGAUGAGUUCGGCUCAGUUCCACAGAGGAAUUCUUUGAGGGCGGCAUAUACAAGAGCAGUCUGGGUCAAGAACAAGAAGUUGGAAUGUGUACAUUCGUACAUACAUACAGUUUUAUUUCAUGUAUAUGGGUGUUUUGCUUGCAUGCAUGUCUGUACACCAUAUGCGUGCCUAGUGCUUACAGAGGCCAAAAGAUGACAUUGGACCCCCUGGAACUAGAAUUUACAGAUGGCUGUGGACCACCAUGUGGGUGUUGAGAAUUAAACCCAGCCCUUCUAGAAGAAGCCAUCUCUCAAGCUCCUUAAAAAAAAACAUUUUUCAGAUGGCAAAACUGAGGCUCAGAAACCUGAAAUCAAGUCACUUGUCAAAGCCCUUCAGUGAAUAGGAAAGAGCCAGGAUGCCAGUCUAGUAUGUGUUAACAAAGCCCUUUGCAUUAUAUCAAAAUGUGUCUGGGCCAUGAUUAGUCUUCCCACUGUGCCUUACUACCAGUUCUAUAAACCUUGUCAUGUGUCUAAAGCCAAAUACGUCACCUGUUUUACUUCCCCGGUCAACAGUGGUGCAGCCACCCUUUGGUGUCAGCUUUUCGACUCACCCCUCGGUACUCAAGUUAUUGUACUUCUGACCUCUAAAUGUCUAUUUCCGUAUCAGGGCUGGCAUUGUGUUCCCGAGCUGUGGUAUACAAAAGUGCCCAGCAAGUACCGUAUGCGGGAGGUCCUGGAACCAGUCCUAAAGAGGGCUCAUUAGUGGUGGAUAGCAUCCCAGUGAUACUCUGCGCCAAGGAAUGAGCUCAGAACCCAGGGAAUGAAGCCAAAGUUGGCCGGUCAGUUUGCCAAGCUGGGAGUCCUUGCUCAUGGUUAUCAGCCAAAGGAAGGAUGCCAGUAGAGGGGGUGAGACUGACUGAUGGGGAUGAAGAAGCAGUGAUGCAUCCUGGGAAGCGGGAUCAGGCUCUUCCAUGCUUGCACGUAUCUCGUCAGGAGAGAGUGGCCUCUGAUGUGGGGGUCUUGUGGGCCGAGCGGGAUAUACUUAGCAGAUAGUAGGCGCUUAAAAUAGGAUUGAAAGGUCUUAAUGAAAAUAUGUCCCCUGUUCUCCCAAGGCAAUUUAAUUUUAAUUUGGACCUAAUUUAACUUUUAAAAAUUACCUGGCAUUUAUCUUCACAUUUUCUCAGUAUGUUCUUACACUGUUGUUUAGUGAGUUAUCCAUCUGAAACCAUUAACUUCCUCUUCAAUAGAUGAUAACUCAGUCUGUUAUGUUUCCACCUCCCACUUCCUCUCCUUAUCCCAGAACAAAAAAAAACCCGUGGUGCUGGAAGUGCAGCUCAGUUGGUACAGCGCUUGUCUAGCAUGUGCAUCUCUGGGUUCCAUCCUUAGCACUGGACCUGCUGGUGUACACCAGUAAUUCCAGCAUCUCCCAGGAGGCAAAGGUAGGAGGCUCAGAAGUUCAAAGUCCUCCUCAGCUACAUCGUGAGUUCCAGGACAAAACCAACACCCAAAUAGAAUUCUGGCAGACCAUGCAAUUACUAAUCAUCCCUGUGUGGCAGAGCCAUCACAAGGAACCACCGUCCCCUUGACUGCCACCUCGGUGCUGGAUACUAGAUAACUGCAGUCAGCCCUUGUACCCUCAGAUCUGUCUGAAAUUAUUCAAAUCAGCCAGUCCUAAAUCUGCUUAUCUUCCCUGACCUGAAUGAACCACAGUUGAAACACAAAGCAGACUCUUGCUCACGGCCGUCCGCUAAGCUGGCCUGCUCCUGACCAAGCCUGGGGCUUCUCAGUUUGGCCCCAUGUAGUCAAGCAUGUCCCUCCUCUUUCUCACAUACUCUAACAAGCUCUUUUGGAAGACAGUUCUCUUCUCAGGAGGUUCCUAGUCCUCACUGCAACUGGAUAUACCCUGGCUGGCUGAUAUCCAUGGGAGGUCUUCCUGAAGAGGA